UUUUUAUUUUUUAUAUAUUCUGUUCACGUUUUCGGGAGGACCUGGGGACCUAUCGGGAUUGACAGAGACAGCAGCCAAUGGAACGGUGAGGGAGGCGGUGCGAGUCGCGCUGUGACCAAUAGGAGAGCGAAGCGCAGUUCACGGCAUCCAAUGGGGAGGCGGCGGGGGCUGCUGUGCUUCUCUGCCCCUUCUCUCCCUGCUCUGCGCUCUCCCCUCCCGCUCGGGGCACGGCGGGGCAGGGCCAGUUCUCGGUUCCCGUCUCCGCAGUGCUGGUGGCCGCCGCGCCCCGCGUCCACCUGAAUCGCCGGACAACAACAUGACGGCCGCCUACGUUCGGGAAACGUGGCGCUCCCUUUGCAUGCACCGUACAACAAAAUGGCGGCCUCCAGGGCUCACCCCUCUCUCCGUAAAGGCUGUCUAAGGCGGUCCAGCCCUUCCCACCCACCCCGUGGCCGAGUGGGUCAAGUCUCACCGGGGAACAAUUCUGCUAGGAACACAUGGGUUUGAAUCCCAGCUGAAACAGCUUUAAAAAGAAACUGCACUGGAGUAAAAGAAAGUGCGUUAAAAUGCCACAAAGUGGCAGCAACACCAUCCUUGAUGAUAGAGCCAAGAAAGAAUUACAACUAGAAGUUUCAUCUCCUGGCUGAGCGAGCUUUAUUUGCUGCCAGUUCCAGUUAAGAGAACAUGCAAAGCUUAGGAAAUAAGUACAGAUGUGGUAAAAGUGGAUAGCAAAAAAUUUAAGUAGAGCAUCUGGAAUAGAGAACUUGGUUUUGCAAAACUGCACUGCAGUGAUGCUGAAUAUAGUUUUAAAAGCAGUUGUGGCCUCAAUGAAGAUAGAAAGCCCCACUUAACUGUGGAGCAGUCUGGAGUUAAGGAUUUUCCAGGCAUUUGUUCUAAUUAAUCUUGAAUGGGUUAAUUGGCUGAAUUUUUAUCGCCUGUUGACAACUUGUUUGUAAAAUGAAUCUGUGUCAUUCCACGCGGGAGCUGUGGUCCCGUCACACGGGAUCAGCUGAGCAUCCUGCAGCUGUCUCAACAGGCAGAGGGAACACACAGACAGCAAGCUUGUUUCCAGCUACUAGAAGAGAUGGAAUCACUCCAGGAAUCAAAUGUUGUUGCAAGUGGAGGUAAGAUACAGAACCGAGGUCCUGCAGCCAGGAUGCACAAAGGCACUCCUGAUUUUAGGUGAGUGCAGAAAAAAGUUCAGGGCAGAAAAACGAUCUCAUAAAAUCUCCUGGUGCUUCAGUAGCCUUAGAGCUGCUGGACUGUCUCUAACACUGUUGCUUGCACUGGAAUGCAGUGGGGUGGAGCACAGAGAAACAGGCUGUUCACCCGAGUGCUGGUUUCAGCACCUGCUGCCAGUCCUGCGGGCAGCAGUUGUGCUUUCAUUUACCUUCCCAUUGCUCUAAAAGAAAGGAGUGCCUUACCAGAUCACAGGCAAGAGAAGUUCCUUGGUUUUGAUGAACAAACUGCUUCUGACAUGUCCAGUCUGCCCUCCGUUUGUAGUGUGUUAACCCUAAAAGGGUUAACAACACUGGCACUGCAAUAACUGCCCCCUAAUCCCACCGCAUCUGAAGGAAGACUCCGGAGACAGGCAGGGAUCCCUCCCUCGCCUGGCUGGGAUCAUUGUUGCUUCCUGCCUCCCGCUGCUUCUCCCGUGCAGCUUUCCGAGGCCGCUGCUUGAUGCCUGUUGGUUGUGCUGAUAAACACAGGGUGUGAGCAGAGCUCUCUGCCCGCGCGGGCUCGGUUACCCGCAGGGCUGCAUCCCCCUCUGCAGGCAGGCGUUCCAGUGGAAUCAUUGUCUCAGCCGGUGUUUAAACAGGAGGGAAGUUUGCAGUCUUCCUGAUGGGACUACGAGUGCAUGUAUGUAUUUUGUUUACAUUUUAAAGUAUUCAAGUAUCACAUGUCGCCUUCUAAGAUACUCACAGCCAAGUAUUUUAGCAGGAUGUCAAAUCCAAAGAGUUUUGCUGCAAGCAUGGCUCUAUUAGGAAUGAUGAUGCCAUUGGGGAAGAGCAGUACUAAAAAGGAUUUGAAGCUGUGAAAGUAUAACCAAAUGACCACAAUUCCCUUUGAAUGGAAAUAAUAUGGUGUGAAUUUACAAUUCUUUUGAAAGGAGGUAUUUUACAAAAAUUGAAACAAACAUUAAUCCAUGCAAGGUCCUUGCAUCAUUGUGGCAUUAUUGAUCAGGAAAAAAAAACAAAAACAAUAAGAAAUUACUAUUUCAGCGUAGCGAUCAGAAAUAUAACUUAAAGGAAAAUCUUUGCCUUUGUGCCAAUCUUCCAUUCAUAGAACUGUUCAGAUUAAACUCUCCAUAAGACACAGCUGCCCUUGGCAGUGGUAUGGUUUGGGAGGUUUCUGUCCAAGUCCCGAGGUGAGGAGCAGCACUGUGUGUGAGGGUGCCUGUGGGGCCGCAGGGCAGCGGAGAUGGGGAGGUGGCGUGUCCCAGAAGGUGGGGUGGGUGGCAGCAGGGCGGCUUGUAAGCAGUGGCUGCACCCACGUGAUUGGAGAUACACGGCCAAGAGGGCUGGUCAAAAGUGGUCCGAAGUCUGACUGUGCUCCUCCCAAAAGCACAUGACAUCAGUAAAAUCAGUGGGCCACAAACUCAUGUGAUUAACUGUGACCACACCUGAUUCAUCCAAAAUGAGUUUUAAAUUGCAUUUAAAGGAUGUACUAACAGGCAUCUUUGGGUUUACAGUUUUCAAGGGAGAGAUCAAGGCUUUUACAUGCAGGAAAAGGUCAUUAACAUCAGCAGAGACAAUUCCACACUUGGGAUCAGAUGUGUAUCAUCCUUAGAUGCAAUGAUUUCCUGGCCCUGAAUGUUCACAAACUUCAGUAUUGCAAAUGCAGGGGCUGCUCUGUCCCUCAGCAUGGACCAGGGAGGGUAUUCCUUUGUCAUCAUUAUCCCAUUGCCAGUACUGGAAGAAGCAAAAUGAGUUUGCCAGUGUUAAAUCACAACAGCUUUAUGUGCAGGUAGGUAGUUACAGUUUGUCACCAAAGUAAUCCUGCAUUUUUAUUUUUUUUUUAAUAAUUUUACAUCAUUGUUACAUUUCCAGCAGUAGUGUCUCUAAAAACAGCUCCACACAAAAUAUUUGUAGCUCUGGUGCCAUCUAAGAUUAAAAAUGUGGACACCACUGUACAGCAACAGGGUUGUUCCUUGUAAACCUGCUUUGCAGUUUUCAUGCCAGUCCUUAAGGAUUCACCUCCAAAGGCCUGAGCACGGGUGUUGGGGCAGAGCUGCACAUUGAAAUACGACUGAGAUGUCUGUCUUGGGAUCCUGUUCAGACCUACUUACAGCCACAGGGUGACAGCAGAGCUCCUCCCACACGGUACAGAAUCCCAGUGCCUUUGCUGUCACCUGAUUUCCCUCUGGACACUUCUCCCUUUGGUGCCUGGUAGGUGACUACAGUCAGUGUGCUCCAGAUGUGCAUUACUCACAUGUUGCCCUCAAGGGUGCUCCCACUGUCCCACCAAGAGGAGAAAUGUAGCACUGCCAGGCUACUUUGUUUCACAGUCAGUGUCACUUCGUAGAAAACUUGGGGGGUUUUUGUUAGCCAGACACCCAUAGAAAAACCCAUCUGGUCCCAGAGAGAGAACCUGCUUCCCUUCUUUCCACCCCUCCUAAUCAAGUUAAGAGCCACAAGAGUAACCACAGCCUUGCAAGGCAGGUAGCAGGGUGGUACAACUCGCAGCUGUAACACAGGGUUUUCUCUGCUGUCAAAAGCCUUCUGUUGAGAAUUAUACACUGCAGAAACCAAAAAAUGCUCCAUGUUGUAAUGUUUCCCAGCAAUAGCAUGCUCCAGUCAUACUACAAACGAGGUCCUUUGAAGUACAAAUGUUUAUUGCAAUGUUUCAUUAUUUACAGUACCAUUCACUGUGUCCCUGGGUGCUACCAAAGUGCAAGCCAUUUUGGACAGGACAGCUAAACCAUGGUAAUUCAGCAGCAAAGCAUGACUGCACCUUACGCUCAUGCUGUCCUGCCUCUUCCUCAGGCCUGAAUGCAGAGAAGUUUGCUGCUCUCCCAGGUCACUUGGAACAACCUGGUAAUGUGAAACUUUGGUCACAAAGGAUUGUCAGUUGCUGGUUUUUCAAGGUGAUGCAGGAACAAGAAUCAGCAAUCUUUCCAGCUGGACUUUACUCGGAAUUCAGAGUUUCUGAUUGCCUAACGAGAUGUGUUUGUAUGCAGGACUGUCAAAUUCCUAUUUCAAUUUUUUAUGUAAGUACUGGUUUAUUCCCAAUUGUUUUUUUUCUGAUUCUCUUUGGUUUAUGUAAGCUUUUCAUCAUCUACCUGUUUUGAGGCUAUCUACCUACUUUCUUAAAAGAGCCAGUACCUCGAGAAUUACCAGUUGCUACUGGAUACUGAUACUGGUUGUGUCAUCUCCUAGAGUUGCAUUUAAAGGUCUUUACUGCAAAUUUUAUUAUGCACUUCCACUUCAUAUAAAAAUGGUAUUGCAGUGGCUAAACUCAGGGCAAGAAUCUUUUCUGUUUUCUAACACGUGUAUUAGCUCAAGAAAGUAGUUUGAAAGACAGUUCAGACUGAGUUCCACUGCUGCCAGCAGUCCCUUGGGAGGCAGGCAGUGAACUUCUCUGCCUCAGUUAUUUUAUUUUGCACCAGGGAUGUCAUUACCUUCUAAAAUUUGAGAUGCCUUGUGUUACAAAGCUCUUGUACAAUUAGGAAAUGUUUAAGACUUCAUUCCAGAAAAUAAGUUAUAUUAAAUGGCACUCAAGUCCUCCAGGAAACAUGUAGCAGGGCUGUUGGGUGAAGUUCAGCAGUAACAAUUUCUGCCUUCUCCCCAUGCCUGCUUUACAGUUCCUGUAAUAAUGAGUCCCUGCAACAGCUGCCUCAAAUGAUUCUGAAAUUACAGCUCCUCAAAAAGGGGAUGAUUGCAGCUCUUGUGACUCCCGUGAGUCACACUUUUAUUCCAUGUUAUCACAGGCUUUUCUGUAUCACUAUUGAUAAAAAGUCACCAAAAGCUUUACAGCUGCAGAAGGUACCAUUUUCACAAAGAAAAUGUACUAGAUUGAUUUCUUAACCUACCAUACAAAACACAGUGUUUAAAAGCUCUGCAGUGCUUCCCUAUUAUCAUUCCUUUGGAAUUUGGAGGAGGCGGCAGAGCUCACAUGCAGUCAACAACGUUGCUGGAUCCUUGGCCCACAUCCCGGAUCUGGCUGCUGAGACAGGAGCACACGGCCACGCCUGCCCCUGCCCGGCAGUGUGACACCGAGCCCACGAGCUCCCACCUACGGAACGUGGCAGAGGGAAAAAAGAAAAGUCAGUUCCUGUCCUUUCUGAGCAAUCUGAAAGUAUUUAUUUUCUGUGUCCGAAAUUCUUUUACACAGCCUAGCUGUUUGCCCUGCACAAAAAUGCACCCCAGUGGCUUAUUAUUUCUCUGUAGAUUGUUACUGAAUGAACAAGGGAUGCAGAGGAGGCAGAGGAGGGAGGAGGUGCUUAAAUAUUUACAAGAAAAACCUAGUGGCAUAGGCAGCAGUCCUAUAUUGACAGUCAUGGAUAUUACUCAAUUAUUACCAGGAAACAACAGCUAGACUCCUGCUGCACGCUGUCAUGUUGUGUUUUCAUAUAGGCAGACUUCAUUGUCUUACUAAGCCAAAUAAAACAUUUAAAAUUA